UACAGAGGGUGCGAGCGUUAAUCGGAAUUACUGGGCGUAAAGCGUGCGCAGGCGGCCUCUUAAGUCAGAUGUGAAAUCCCCGGGCUUAACCUGGGAACUGCGUUUGAAACUGGGAGGCUAGAGUGUGGAAGAGGGGGGUGGAAUUCCAGGUGUAGCAGUGAAAUGCGUAGAGAUCUGGAGGAACACCGAUGGCGAAGGCAGCCCCCUGGGCUGACACUGACGCUCAUGCACGAAAGCGUGGGGAGCAAACAGG
rnacentral:rRNA from 1 species